rnacentral:rRNA from 1 species
AGACAGAGGCCCCAAGCGUUAGGCGGAAUCACUGGGCUUAAAGCGUGUGUAGGCGGACGCCUAAGUGUCUUGUGAAAUCCCACGGCUCACCCGUGGAACUGCUGGGCAUACUGGGCGUCUUGGGCCAACUAGGGGCAGCCGACACAAGCGGUGGAGCGGUGAAAUGCGUAGAUAACGCGUGGAACGCCAAAGGUGAAAACAGGCUGCUGGGGUUGCGCCGACGCUGAGACACGAAAGCCAGGGGAGCAAACGGGAUUAGAUACCCCGGUAGUCCUGGCCCUAAACGAUGUCCACUAGAUUACGGCGCCUUUGACGGCGUCGUGGUCGAAGCAAAAGUGUUAAGUGGACCGCCUGGGAAGUACGGUCGCAAGGCUAAAACUCAAAGGAAUUGACGGGG